AAAAACAACAAUGACAACAGGAAAUUAUCAUAAAUUUCCAUGAAAGAGAAAGCUGUUGUUGAUAGCCAUGUCAGAAUGAUUGUGAGUAGAGAAUGCCACGUUAGAGCACUUCCAGCGUCAAGGGGAAGUCUGGACAGGAGAGGGCUUAGGCCCGCGUGACAGUGCCAGCGUGUAAGGACAAGCUCGGGCAAGGUGUGGGGCUCA
rnacentral:lncRNA from 1 species